rnacentral:rRNA from 1 species
CCUACGGGAGGCAGCAGUGGGGAAUAUUGCACAAUGGGGGAAACCCUGAUGCAGCGACGCCGCGUGAGGGAAGAAGUAUUUCGGGAUGUAAAGCUCUAUCAGCAGGGAAGAAGAAAGACGGUACCUGAGUAAGAAGCCCCGGCUAACUACGUGCCAGCAGCCGCGGGAAGACGGAGGGGGCAAGCGUUAUCCGGAUUUACUGGGGGUAAAGGGAGCGUAGACGGCUGUGCAAGUCUGCAGUGAAAGCGCAGGGCUCAACCCUGGGACUGCAUCGGAAACUGUGGUGCUAGAGUGCUGGCGAGGUAGGUGGAAUUCCUAGUGUAGCGGUGAAAUGCGUAGAUAUUACGAGGAACACCAGUUGCGAAGGCGGCUUACUGGACAGUAACUGACGCUGAGGCUCGAAAGCGUGGGGAGCAAACAGGAUUAGAUACCCCAGUAGUC